rnacentral:rRNA from 1 species
AUACGUAGGUGGCGAGCGUUGUCCGGAAUCAUUGGGCGUAAAGAGCGCGUAGGUGGUUUGUCAGGUCUGAUGUGAAAACCUGGGGCUCAACUCCAGGCCUGCAUCGGAAACCGGCUUGCUAGAGUCUGGGAGAGGAGAGUGGAAUUCCUGGUGUAGCGGUGAAAUGCGUAGAUAUCAGGAGGAACACCGGUAGCGAAGGCGGCUCUCUGGAACAGUACUGACACUAAAGCGCGAAGGCUUGGGUAGC